GACGAACGCUGGCGGCGUGCUUAACACAUGCUAGUCGAACGCUGAAGCUCAGCUUUUGUUGGGUGGAUGAGUGGCGAACGGGUGAGUAACACGUGAGUAACCUGCCCCCUUCUUUGGGAUAACGCCCGGAAACGGGUGCUAAUACUGGAUAUUCACUGGUCUUCGCAUGGGGGUUGGUGGAAAGGGUUUUUCUGGUGGGGGAUGGGCUCGCGGCCUAUCAGCUUGUUGGUGGGGUGAUGGCCUACCAAGGCUUUGACGGGUAGCCGGCCUGAGAGGGUGACCGGUCACAUUGGGACUGAGAUACGGCCCAGACUCCUACGGGAGGCGGCAGUGGGGAAUAUUGCACAAUGGGCGCAAGCCUGAUGCAGCGACGCCGCGUGAGGGAUGGAGGCCUUCGGGUUGUGAACCUCUUUCGCUCAUGGUCAAGCCGCAACAAUGGUUGUGGUGAGGGUAGUGGGUAAAGAAGCGCCGGCUAACUACGUG
rnacentral:rRNA from 1 species